rfam:Caenorhabditis briggsae complete genome, chrIII
UGACUGUUUGGGUGUCCUUGGAUGUAAAAAGCUAUAAAUCUGUUAAGAUUGCUUUGUACUCCGAUGCCAUCCACAUGGUCU